UGCGGUUAAUGAAACACCAUCUCGGGUCCCAGUAUUAUGCAAUCAUGGAUGAACAAUGGAUGCCAAGAGAUUUACUUGAGUGCUUGGAAAAUAAUAUGCCGACAUCACAGGUCCUAACCAUACUUUCACACGUCUUCGGUGAGAUGCAAUUGCACAAUACAACCUCAUACGAACCGUUUACAGACUAUAUCAGUAAAUACUUUAUGGCAAAGGGAUGCUUUAACCGCGUGGAUAUGAUUGGACGAACAAAGGAGCUGGCAGAUGUGGAAAGGGAACUUGAAAAGCGGAGAGGGGUCUGCGUGUAUGGGCAAGGUGGUCUCGGCAAAACAACGCUGAUUAAUGAAGUGUGUACACGUUGAACGUAUAUGAAAAAGUCCGUGAAGAAAGUGAACCUUAAAGAAACUAACAGUAUACGCACAAUGCUGGCGUUGAUUUUCAAGCAGUUCAAUGAAUCGUUCAUCGAAGAUGAAGGAGAUGAUGUGAACCUUGAAACAGUAGCAGUUUGUUUGAUUGAGGCUUGCAAAGACGACGCUGGGAACACCAUGCUGUUUUUGGAUAAUGUAGAGAAUGUAUAUGACAAUGAAAGACAACCAUUCCGGUCAACUAUGAAUUCUCUUUUGCGGAUUAAU